rnacentral:other from 1 species
AGUCCCCUGCAGUGUUCGUCAGGAGAGCAUUCCUCCUGAGCCGAUAGUUAUUGAACCAAGGGUGUUUGCUCUGAUCGUGGAGUGUGAGCUGUUUACAGUUGACCAGAAGCGGUUAUUUCACGUACCCACCUUAAACAAGGGGUUCAGAGGUCGUAAUCCAACGGCACAGGCGGGGGACUU